AGGAUUAUAGUUAAAAAUAACAUUUGAAUUGCAAUCAAAAAGUACUAAAAAGAUAGUUAAUCUUA
rnacentral:tRNA from 1 species